rnacentral:rRNA from 1 species
GAUGAACGCUGGCGGCGUGCCUAAUACAUGCAAGUAGAACGCUGAAGGAGGAGCUUGCUCUUCUGGAUGAGUUGCGAACGGGUGAGUAACGCGUAGGUAACCUGCCUGGUAGCGGGGGAUAACUAUUGGAAACGAUAGCUAAUACCGCAUGACAACAGUUAUUGCAUGAUAACUGUUUAAAAGGGGCAACUGCUCCACUACCAGAUGGACCUGCGUUGUAUUAGCUAGUUGGUGAGGUAACGGCUCACCAAGGCGACGAUACAUAGCCGACCUGAGAGGGUGAUCGGCCAAACUGGGACUGAGACACGGCCCAGACUCCUACGGGAGGCAGCAGUAGGGAAUCUUCGGCAAUGGACGGAAGUCUGACCGAGCAACGCCGCGUGAGUGAAGAAGGUUUUCGGAUCGUAAAGCUCUGUUGUAAGAGAAGAACGAGUGUGAGAGUGGAAAGUUCACACUGUGACGGUAUCUGACCAGAAAGGGACGGCUAACUACGUG